GGUUUCAGUGUUCCACUUCGUGUGGAAAAUGGUCCAUGUCCUUUUUGGGCAAUAAUAAAAUAAUUCUAAAAUUUUAACUAAGGCCUGGUAACUGGGCUUAUUCAGCUGUGCACAGCUUUUUAGUGAUGCCUGAGCAAUACCAGCUCAACGGUGCGAUGCGCGAGUAAUUUUCGUCAAGUGUUGAGCAUCAAUCGCAACGAAGAAAUAUUAUGAUGCUUCUACCCAGCGUUUUUUUGGUAACAGCUGUGUUAUGUCCUUUUUUUGUGACAAAAUUCUAAUAUAUAUAUUUCGCUCAUUUUUUCGAAUGUGGGAAGAAAAGUGGCAAUUUCCUCAGAAAAUUAUUGCCUAGUAACUGAUGAAAAAGGGGAACCCAUUAUUGAAAGUCAUAAGCUUUUAUUGCAGAUUAUCACAGAAGAAAACUACAUAUGUGUAGAUGCUCCUCCCCAAAUAUUUUGCUGAAUUUGGUAUUAAAAGAAAAGAAGAGAUGAAAUCACAAAUAUAUAAAUAUGUUAUGCAAAAUUUUUCAGAAGAUAAAAUUGCUCUACUGAAGAACCACAAAAUACCUAAAUUGACACCCGUAAUGGCAAAGUGAUUAAUGGAGACAAAAAAGAAAAGCUUGUUCAAACAAAAUCUUUUGAAGAAUGCGAAAAAUAUAGUUGCACCUUGGAGAGGGCAAGCUGGAGGAAUUGAAAAAACUCCAUGCAUAUUUACAAGAGAAAAACUAGAACUUCUAAGGAAUCUAAGGAAACAGAGCCAAAUCCAUAAUGAACAAAGUAGGUAAAAUGCAUCCUUGUUUACUUUCUUAUAUAUUUAAAAAAAUAUUUGUUUUUUUUUGUCAUAUAGAUAUUUUUCUUAAUUGUAGUUAAAUUUUUUACUUUUGUAAAUUAUUAAAAUACAUUGUUGAAAUAA